rnacentral:lncRNA from 1 species
CUAAAUGAUUCGUCGAAAAAAACGUAAAUAUUUACGUAGUGUAAAUGUGUUUAAUACUUGAAAACAAUAACUUAAGGUGACAGUUUAAAUACCUUCCUAUAAAGUGCAUACGAACAGAUAUUUUGAGGUGAACGAACGGUUUCAAUAUUAGUUGCUAUUUGGUCCGCAACUACAUGAUGUAUUUGUUUUAUUUUACAUUAAACUAGUGGCGGAGUCAGUACGUCUUUUCACAAAAAAUCUUUAGUGUAUUUAUCGCAAGUCUAAAAUAUUCCUUAACAAUUCAACUAAAUAUUUUUAUCGUUAGAUUCAUUUUACACGAUUUUUCAAGUUUAUCGGAUCGUGAUGUUCGACUAGUGUUAAACUGGUAAUCGACAGUAAUCGUAACUUUUAAAAUAACGACGAUCCCAAUGUGGCGACGGAAGAAAUAGGU